rnacentral:rRNA from 1 species
AUUGAACGCUGGCGGCAGGCCUAACACAUGCCAGUCGAGCGGAUGAAGGGAGCUUGCUCCUGGAUUCAGCGGCGGACGGGCGAGUAAUGCCUAGGAAUCUGCCUGGUAGUGGGGGAUAACGUCCGGAAACGGGCGCUAAUACCGCAUACGUCCUGAGGGAGAAAGUGGGGGAUCUUCGGACCUCAUGCUAUCAGAUGAGCCUAGGUCGGAUUAGCUAGUUGGUGGGGUAAAGGCCUACCAAGGCGACGAUCCGUAACUGGUCUGAGAGGAUGAUCAGUCACACUGGAACUGAGACACGGUCCAGACUCCUACGGGAGGCAGCAGUGGGGAAUAUUGGACAAUGGGCGAAAGCCUGAUCCAGCCAUGCCGCGUGUGUGAAGAAGGUCUUCGGAUUGUAAAGCACUUUAAGUUGGGAGGAAGGGCAGUAAGUUAAUACCUUGCUGUUUUGACGUUACCAACAGAAUAAGCACCGGCUAACUUCGUG